UACGGGGGGGGCAAGCGUUGUUCGGAAUUACUGGGCGUAAAGGGCUCGUAGGCGGCCAACUAAGUCGGAUGUGAAAUCCCCAGGCUUAACCUGGGAACUGCAUCCGAUACUGGAUGGCUUGAAUUCGGGAGAGGGAUGCAGAAUUCCAGGUGUAGCGGUGAAAUGCGUAGAUAUCUGGAGGAAUACCGGUGGCGAAGGCGGCAUCCUGGACCGAGAUUGACGCUGAUGAGCGGAAGCUAGGGGAGCAAACGGG
rnacentral:rRNA from 1 species